CCGGCGGGAUGCACACAAGAUGCCCGUUUUCCUUCGCAAAGAAGUAGUUUACUGGUAUUUUGUGACUUUUUUAAGAAGAAAAACUUAAAAAAAAAAAAAAGCCUGCUCCCAGCAAAACUGCCCAAUACUUUUUGGCAUCUCUUAAAUUUUGCAUUAAAGGCAGAUAUUUCACUCACCUGGCUUCUUCACUCUAGUCCUGGCCCUGCCACAAGGAGUCAGCUUACUUCAGAGAUUACUAUGGUGUCUGUCAAAGUUUCUUUGGAAGAUCCAAGUGUCAACAUCAAGUUUUCUGUCAUAAAUAUUUGUCUGAAAUCAUGAAAGAGAAAUUUAAGAUCUGAAAACAAACAUAGGAAGAUUCUAAAAUCUUCUCUGGAGAGAAGGUCAAUCAACUAGGGACCGUGGGACCCAAGGCACAACACAGGGAUGAGUCCUCUGGAUUGUCUCUUUGCCUCAUAUAUCCUAGACUCGGAAAUGAAGAAGCUGGCUACCCCCACAAAUAAAGGAAAGCACCAACAAAAUCCUACACUAUGGCCAGACGACUUGGAAAAGAGCAGCCUAGCAGGACAGAAAAGCUUCAGGCAGUAAGUACUACACUGUAGCCAAACAUGGCAGAAGAAACUGUGGCUGCAACCCCACCCGUACUAGUAGUAGCCAGGUGGAGAGCUCAGACUUCCACUUUUGCAAGGCUGUAGUGAACUUUCCACCCCUCUCCCCAACUCCCACCAACACAAGUUUGGUGUCAGAGGAACCCUGAUUGAGAGUCAGGAUUUUGACGACAACUUAGUAGUAAUGAGACCAGACACCACUCACCCUACAUCCAUGGUGUUAGUGGAGUCCACAUGGAGAGUAGUAUUAAGUCCUCCUGUGCUCCUCCUACCUACCAGGGAGGUAUCAGCGGAGGCAUGGUGAAGAGCUGGAACUCCCAUCUCCACCUAUAGGUAAUGAAAAGCACCCACUGCUCAGGUGCCAGCAGAGGCUGAGAGAGUCCACUACCCAUCUGGAUGCCUACUGUCAACUGGCAAUAACGAGGUGGCUGCUCCACACCUACUCCUUCCUUCCCCUGCUGGAACAGUGCCAGAGAAAACCAGCUAAAAUAACAGGUUUAAAUAAAAUCCAUAUGAUCUCCUUUGAAGCACAGAAGUUUUUAAUUUUGAUGAAUUUUUUCUUUUGUUGCUCUUGCUUUUGGUGUCAUAUCUAAGAAACCCUUGCCAAGUUCAAGGUCAUGAAGAUUUGACCCUAUAUUUUCCUAAAAGAGUUUUAUAGACUUAGGUCUUUGAUCCAUUUUGAGCUAAUUUUUGUAUGUGGUGUAAUAUAAAGGUCUGGCUUCAUUCUUUUGCCUUUGGUUAUCUGGUUGUCCCAGCAUUUGUCAAAAAGAAUAUUCUUCCCCAUUGAAUGGUCUUGGCACCCUUGUCAAAGAUAAUUUGACCAUAAAUAUACAAGUUUGUUUCCAAACUCUCGAUUCUACUCUAUUGCCUAUAUAUCUAUCCUUGUGCCAUUACUACAUUAUCUUGAUUACUGUUGCUUUGUAGUAAGUUUUUUUUUUGGGGGGGGGGUGUUG